rnacentral:rRNA from 1 species
GACGAACGCUGGCGGCGUGCUUAACACAUGCAAGUCGAACGGAAAGGCCUCUUUCGGGGGGUACUCGAGUGGCGAACGGGUGAGUAACACGUGAGUAACCUGCCCUUGACUUUGGGAUAACUUCAGGAAACUGGGGCUAAUACCGGAUAGGAGCUCCUGCUGCAUGGUGGGGGUUGGAAAGUUUCGGCGGUUGGGGAUGGACUCGCGGCUUAUCAGCUUGUUGGUGGGGUAGUGGCUUACCAAGGCUUAGACGGGUAGCCGGCCUGAGAGGGUGACCGGCCACAUUGGGACUUAGAUACGGCCCAGACUCCUACGGGAGGCAGCAGUGGGGAAUAUUGCACAAUGGGUGGAAGCCUGAUGCAGCAACGCCGUGUGCGGGAUGACGGCCUUCGGGUUGUAAACCGCUUUCGCUCAUGACGAAGCUUUGUGUGACGUUAGUGGGUAAAGAAGCACCGGCUAACUACGUG